GGUUGUGGCUCAGUGGUGAAGUGCUUGCCUAGCAUGCAUGAGGCACUGGGUUCGAUUCUCAGCACCA
rnacentral:tRNA from 1 species